rnacentral:rRNA from 1 species
UACGUAGGGUGCGAGCGUUGUCCGGAAUUAUUGGGCGUAAAGAGCUCGUAGGCGGUUUGUCACGUCGGAUGUGAAACCCCGGGGCUUAACUCCGGGCCUGCAUUCGAUACGGGCUGACUAGAGUUCGGCAGGGGAGACUGGAAUUCCUGGUGUAGCGGUGAAAUGCGCAGAGUAUCAGGAGGAACACCGGUGGCGAAGGCGGGUCUCUGGGCCGAUACUGACGCUGAGGAGCGAAAGCGUGGGGAGCGAACAGG